AUUGAACGCUGGCGGCGUGCUUAACACAUGCAAGUCGAUCGGUAACAGGUGUAGCAAUACAUGCUGACGAGAGGCGGACGGGUGAGUAAUGCUUGGGAAUCUGCCUAUUAGUGGGGGACAACCCGGGGAAACUCGGGCUAAUACCGCAUACGCUCUACGGAGGAAAGCCGGGGACCGCAAGGCCUGGCGCUAAUAGAUGAGCCCAAGUCGGAUUAGCUAGUUGGUAGGUAACGGCCUACCAAGGCGACAAUCCGUAGCUGGUCUGAGAGGACGACCAGCCACACCGGAACUGAGACACGGUCCGGACUCCUACGGGAGGCAGCAGUGGGGAAUAUUGGACAAUGGGGGCAACCCUGAUCCAGCGACGCCGCGUGGGUGAAGAAGGCCUGCGGGUUGUAAAGCCCUUUC
rnacentral:rRNA from 1 species